GGGUCCGAGCGGCUGUGGGACUGGUGGGUGAGAGAGAUUUGUCCUGACCUUGGGCCAGGCAGGACCAAGAAAACUUCAGCUACAGGCAAAAUAUUAAGCCAGGGCUGGUGGUAUGCAACCCACAAGACAUUUUUCUUUCUUGAUUUUGAAUUAUCUUCCAGCUCUAGAUGCCGGUAAAUUCUGUAAAAAAUGAAGUUUAAUGAAGUUUGUGCUCUUUAUGAGCAUAAACGGGAGGCUGGGUCUGACAUGUAUUGUUUGGAUAGUGUAUCCAGUCCAGGAGGUAGCAGAGGAAGGCAGUUUCUAGGCCUGGGUUAGCUAUUUUAGGGACUUGGAAAUCCUAAAUUUAUUCAGCAGUUUUUAAUUUUCCCCUCCAUUUGAGAAGAUAAGCUUCUAGAAUCUGGGUUCACUCUGUGCUUGAACAUCCAGGCUGAGGGAGAGGGGCCACCCAGGCUAGCGGCCAUUGCCAAGAGCGUUUGAACACAGAGACACAUCUUCUGAACAUCACAUUUUCUCAAUCACCAGACUGCCUGGCUGGGAGCCGGGUGUCUCUAGAUUCCUGCUGGGUUUCCUUCUGGCUCAGUUCUCUCCUGGGCUGAGUACCCACAUGACCUCAUGGAAAGGCUUGAGAGAAUAUGGUACCCCAGUAACAGCCACACUGAAUCUGGACUUGUAGCUACUGAGCAGCCCUAGAAAAGCAUUGGCUUGUCCCAUGGCAGGUCCAGGGUCACCUCUGCCUAGGCUGCUUGGGAAGGAGGCAGUACCGUUGUGGUGUACCCAUCACUGUGGCCCAAAUCCACCCCUAGUAUGUAUGGUCUUCUGAACUUUGAUAGCUAAGUUUUCCUGUGCAAGAAACAGAAUUCCCAACCCCACCAGGGCUCCAAGGACCCCUCCCCACCAUCUCUCCAGAGAUAAGAACUCCUUGACCCCCUAUGUUAAUUACAUGUGUCUCUCCUUUUAUUAACGAUUAUAAAAUGAUCAUGUUUGUUUUAAGUCCAUCAACAGCCCUGAAGUCCCAAGGACAAUACACAAAAGUCCAUUCUCUACAGUCCCCAUCAUCCCCAACCUGCAGGCACUGUGCCUAUAGUGAGCUUGGUCUCCUGGUUGGGAAGACUAUUGGGGACAGAGAUGCUUUCAUGUCUCAUACAUCACAAUAGACAGUAAAUGCUCUCCAUUCCAUAAUCCACAUGGAGCAGUCUUAUGCUUAUACAGGCCAUCAGCCUUGCUCCUCUUCCAACCACACAUAGAGGCACAAGAACCGCCCCGAGCAGUCCUGGUCAGAGCUCGUGACACCAGUUGCCCACAGACUCAUUUCACACUGUGGAAAGGAGCAGUUUCUCCAGAGUGGAAUAUUAUUGCUUUGCCCGGCUUUGCUGGCCAUGUCUAAGACCAUGCUAAUUAAGCACUUAUCAGGUGAAGGAA